rnacentral:lncRNA from 1 species
GUGAGCGCUGCCCGCGGUGCUGUGUGGAGCGUGAGCGGGAAGGACCACGCUCAUUUGGUGUUUCUCCUCGGCUUCUCUUGCAGGCGGACCAAAGACAGGCGCUGCCAUCCUUGCUGCCUCGCCCAAGGCGGGCAACGAUGCCGGCAGCUGCACCCCGGCGUGCAGCACCAUCUUCUAAUGUCCCCAAGCUGCCUGCUCUGCAAGCAGCACCCUCCUCCGCAUCUUCUGCAAGCGGAAGAGCAGGUGCCAUGGGCAUUAGAGAGAGCAGACUCCCAGAGCUUGCCCCAAGGCCUCAGGGAACCUUGCGUGUCCAGGACAGGGCAGCAAGAGCUGAGAGCCGGGGUCCAGUUCUGCAAGUCUCCUCAACCGUUCCUGUGCCUCCGCAUGCCAGACCCAAGCAAAGCUACAUGGUGUCCCUGGGCUGUGCUGCAGCCGGAAGCCCGAGAAUCGGAGUGCAGCUGACAGUACGGGGGCACCACGCAUCCACCAGCAGGCUGAGAACACCAGCAAGAUCAGCCCAGGUGCUGGCCACCAAAGCUGGUGAGAUCCCCGCAGCUCAGACAGAUGCUCGGGAGGGCACCAGAGACACUCGUUCGGCUGCUACACCAUGUUUUGUAUCGGCUCAGAAGGGCCCAGAAGAACAGGCAGGAGGCAAAGAGCGAGACAAGGAGCCUCUGCCCACAUUAGUGCCUGAGGAUGCAGGCAACUCAGCUUCUCCCAAGGCUGCACACUCUCCAGGGGAGGCCAGUAAUACAGUGCUCUUCCCGAGAGCGUGUGAGGGAGGAGAAAGAGAAGGAACUGCAACCACCAUGCCUGAAUUCUCCAGACGAGCUCUGGGAGUAGCGCCGGGAUUGCAAAGUCCCAGACAGAUCAACCAGGAGGCCAGUGGAUAUUCUCCAGUUCACCCAGCUAUCCGGAGAGUUUGUGAUGAGGAGGGAAAGGAGCAAAUGUCCAGCUGCAACAUCUCCUGGCCCAACAAUGUGAGCACGCUCAGGCUGCUGAGACCGCAAGCAGCUGAUGACAGUGCCAGUGCUGCUGACGCUGCUCUGGGCAUGUUUGACAUCUGCACCACAUCAAGGGUGGAGGGUCAGCUUCCUCCUUCUAGUGAUUCCCAAACGCGGCAUGAUGGAGUACAAGAUGUCCAGCGUGACUUGCAGCAGAUCAGUGAGACAGAAACCGCAGGACCGUCAUCCGCUGACCCGUGGAGAGCAUGCCUUGCCCCAUCUGAUGAGGCAGAAGCAGUGCCUAGCACUUCUCAUCAGGAUGUGGGUCCACGGCCCGCAGGACAACUUGAGCCUUUGCGUGCAUCAGUUCCUGAAGAUGCAGAAAAUUCAGGCUCUUCCAAGGCAGUGCCCUCUCCGGUGCUGGCCAUUGAAGCACCCUUCUUCCUAUCUCUGUGCUUAAGAGGAAAAAUAGAAGGAAGAGUUUUGGCCAUGCCUGAGUACUCCAGAACAGCUCUGGGGCACUCACCAAGACGGCGAGAUCCCAAAGAAAUCUAUGGGGAAGCUUAUAGAUAUCCUACAACUCACCCAGCAAUCCAGAGAAUUCACAGUGAGGCGAGGAAGGAGCAGAUGAUGUCCACCUGGAGGGCGUCCUGGCCAAAGCGCAUGCGCAGGCUUCCCGUGCCCCCAGCAGCAGGUGACUGUGCCCGUGCUGCCGCCAGUGCUGCCACCAGGGCUCGGGGCAUGCUGGACAUCUGCUGCACGACAUUGAGGGUGGAGGACCUCUUUCCUGCAUCUCAUGAUUCCCAAAACCUGGAGGAGGAAGAGACCUCCGACAGCACUGCCAGCAAUACCAGCACUGAUGACAGCAUGCUGGAUGCCAGAGACAGCGCCGUGAUGGCUGAGAGCGUGCACGUGCCCUCCUUUUUUUACUGUGCUUGUGUGGAGUGUGUGGAAGAAGAAAGGGAAGGCAACUGUGGGGAAGAUGCUGCAGAGGCAGCCAGGGUGGCACCAAGCAUUUCUGGUUGCUCGUCUGGUGAGGUGAAGACCAGGCCUUCAGCUUCCCCUGUGGCUGCAGAUCCCAGACCUGUGAGGCAGUCGUCCACAUGCGAGGGAGCAGAAGCUGCAGCCUAUCAGCAGGAGGAUUCUGCAAGGGCCGGAGGAGAUGCGCAGAGCUCCAGGUGCUUCAGAGACGCGCCAGAGGAUGGCCCCGGUGCCGCUGCUGCACCACGCGCAGCGGCUCGCCGCCGGCUGCCAGCUGCCAUCAGGACGGCGCUUCGGGCUCUGCGCAGGGCUUUCACCUGCAGCUGCAUCACGGGACAGCGAGAGGAGAGGCACGAAGCUGCCAGCAUGAGGCAGCUCCUUGGAGGUGGCUGAUUCCAUCCUGUGGAUGGGGAGUUAUGAUUAAAGCCCAUCUUAACUGUGUCCUGGCUGAGAGCUGUGUGAUUUGAGUGCUCGUGCGUGUUUGGUCUCUGAGUGCAGCUACUGGGGUCAGAGAAUGGGGCAAAGGAUCCCUGUGUUGGUGUAGCCAGCAAGUGCAGAGAGUGUGGGUGUGCAAGGCAGAGUGAUUUCUGGCUUGCGAAGGGCGAGCCAGCUGAGCCGGUGUGUGUGUGAGGUGGCCUGUGAUGAAGGGGGUGAGUGGCUCCGUAAGGGGCAGCCCUGGUGGGAGAGCGCUGGCGUGUCUGUUGCGGAGUCACAGAAGUUUCUGGAACAUGGACUCUCAAGUAGCUGGUGCCUAUGAGCACCAGUGCAUGUACACAGGCGGGUCCACAAGACAGAGAUUUCCUGGGAGGGUGGUGCUUGCGUGCACCUAGGGGUGGUCACUGGGAGGAAAACAGGGCAUCUUGGGGUGGUUGCGUAUACGGGUAUAUAUGCUUUUGUUGCACAGCAUUAAAUUGGCAUUCAGCGCUACAUACUGUGUAUGUGUCCCCUAUGUCCCUGCACGCGGAGGUGCGGACGGGAGGGAAGCCUUGAACGUCUGUCGUCUUGGCAGUUAGGAGGCGACAUCUAUAGGGGUGAGAGCAUGGCCAGGCACAAACCCGGAGAAGACCAGGAGUUUCCCAGCUGGAUCAGAGCCGGUGCCUGCCCAGACCAGCAAGUGGAGGAGGGCUGUGGCCUUGAAGGCUCCUGCAUCCGUGGUCUAGCAGCUAGGGAGGCUGGCAAGGGGACAGUUCCUCCUGGCACUCGAAAGCUUGGAUGAAGUGUUUCUCACUUGCGGGGAAGGGGAUGGGUGGUUCUGUAAGGGGCCACCCUGAGUGUGACAACAAUUUUUUGUUUCUUGGUAAAGCAUGUUGGCGCAUUUGGGAAAAUACAUUUAUUAGAGAGCAGCUAAACGUUACAGGUUUGUGUGAGGCAGAAAAAUCGGAAUACCACCAAU